AUAGAUCUAGCUAGGAAACAUUUUUAGAAAAUGUCAUUUUAUUCGUGUUUUAUCGAAUACCGAGCACAGCUCGGUCUAAUAGCUAGUUUUACUAUAAAAAUGAUUUGUU